rnacentral:rRNA from 1 species
UGGGGAAUUUUCCGCAAUGGGCGAAAGCCUGACGGAGCAACGCCGCGUGAGGGACGAAGGCCUCUGGGCUGUAAACCUCUUUUCUCAAGGAAGAAGAUAUGACGGUACUUGAGGAAUAAGCCACGGCUAAUUCCGUGCCAGCAGCCGCGGUAAUACGGGAGUGGCAAGCGUUAUCCGGAAUUAUUGGGCGUAAAGCGUCCGCAGGCGGCUUUUCAAGUCUGCUGUUAAAACGUGGAGCUUAACUCCAUCAUGGCAGUGGAAACUGAAAGGCUUGAGUAUGGUAGGGGCAGAGGGAAUUCCCGGUGUAGCGGUGAAAUGCGUAGAUAUCGGGAAGAACACCAGUGGCGAAGGCGCUCUGCUGGGCCAUUACUGACGCUCAUGGACGAAAGCCAGGGGAGCGAAAGGGAUUAGAUACCCCUGUAGUCCUGGCCGUAAACGAUGAACACUAGGUGUCGGGGGAAUCGACCCCUUCGGUGUCGUAGCUAACGCGUUAAGUGUUCCGCCUGGGGAGUACGCACGCAAGUGUG